GCCCAGGUGGCGGAACUGGUAGACGCGCUAGUUUCAGGUACUAGUGGAGAGAUCCGUGGAGGUUCGAGUCCUCUCCUGGGCA
rnacentral:tRNA from 1 species